rnacentral:rRNA from 1 species
AUUGAACGCUGGCGGCAGGCCUAACACAUGCAAGUCGAACGAGUGGCGGACGGGUGAGUAAUGUCUGGGAAACUGCCCGAUGGAGGGGGAUAACUACUGGAAACGGUAGCUAAUACCGCAUACCAUCAGAUGUGCCCAGAUGGGAUUAGCUGGUAGGUGGGGUAACGGCUCACCUAGGCGACGAUCCCUAGCUGGUCUGAGAGGAUGACCAGCCACACCUGAACUGAGACACGGGCCAGACUUCUAAGGGAGGCAGCAGUGGGGAAUCUUCCGCAAUGGAGGAAAGUCUGACGGAGCAACGCCGCGUGAGUGAUGACGGCCUUCGGGGUGGAAAGUCGGUUAAGCGGGACGACGGUACCGGAAGAGAAAGCAACGGCUAACUACGUGCCAGCAGCCGCGGUAAUUC